rnacentral:rRNA from 1 species
AUUGAACGCUGGCGGCAGGCCUAACACAUGCAAGUCGAGCGGAGCGGCGGACGGGUGAGUAAUGCCUAGGAAUCUGCCUGGUAGUGGGGGCUAACGUCCGGAAACGGGCGCUAAUACCGCAUCCUAUCAGAUGAGCAUAGGCCGGUUUAGCUAGUUGGUGGGGUAAAGGCCCACCAAGGCGACGAUCCGUAGCUGGUCUGAGAGGAUGAUCAGCCACACUGGAACUGAGACACGGUCCAGACUCCUACGGGAGGCAGCAGUGGGGAAUAUUGGACAAUGGGCGAAAGCCUGAUCCAGCCAUGCCGCGUGUGUGAAGAAGGUCUUCGGAUUGUAAAGCACUUUAAGUUGGGAGGCGUUACCAACAGAAUAAGCACCGGCUAACUUCGUGCCAGCAGCCGCGGUAAUUC